rnacentral:rRNA from 1 species
UACGUAGGGCGCAAGCGUUGUCCGGAAUUAUUGGGCGUAAAGAGCUCGUAGGCGGUCUGUCGCGUCGGCUGUGAAAACCCGAGGCUCAACCUCGGGCCUGCAGUCGAUACGGGCAGACUAGAGUGCUGUAGGGGAGACUGGAAUUCCUGGUGUAGCGGUGAAAUGCGCAGAUAUCAAGAGGAACACCGGUGGCGAAGGCGGGUCUCUGGGCAGUAACUGACGCUGAGGAGCGAAAGCGUGGGGAGCAAACAGG